rnacentral:ncRNA from 2 species
CUGCUAACGCGGGGGUCCUGCGUAGCGCGGAGCUGGAGGUCCGUGCGACGUGGGUGAGAAAUACCCUUUGAACCUGAUCUGGAUAAUGCCAGCGCAGGGAAGCGUACGGAUUUCGCAC